GUUGCACCUGAACCCAAGAAUUGCUGUUUCCUGUAACAGUGGUUUAAACACAGGUGCCACAGCGAGUGAGCGGACUGUGUCGCCUUCUGGGGCUGAGGCGGUGCCCCUGAAAGUGAAUGUGGAGGUCCUACAUUC